GUGUGUGUGUGUGUGUGUGUGUGUGUGUGUAGCCAGAGAGGAUCGACCCCAGCGCGUCCCGGCAGGGCUACGAUGUGCGCUCUGAUGUGUGGAGCCUGGGGAUCACUCUGUACGAGCUGGCCACGGGAAGGUUCCCCUACCCCAAGUGGAACAGUGUGUUCGAUCAGCUGACACAGGUGGUGAAAGGGGAGCCCCCCCAGCUCAGCAGCUCAGAGGACAGGCAGUUCUCCCCUAAGUUCAUCAACUUUGUUAACCUCAGCCUCACAAAGGAUGAAUCCAAACGGCCGAAGUACAAGGAGCUUCUGGUGAG